GGAGGUCGACGACCGGCGCACGGGUGAGUAACGCGUAUGCAACCUACCUUUUACAGGAGGAUAGCCCAGAGAAAUUUGGAUUAAUACUCCAUAGUACUAAUGAAUCACCUGGUUUAUUAGUUAAAACUCCGGUGGUNAAAGAUGGGCAUGCGUGUCAUUAGCUAGUUGGUAAGGUAACGGCUUACCAAGGCGAAGAUGACUAGGGGUUCUGAGAGGAAGAUCCCCCACACUGGUACUGAGACACGGACCAGACUCCUACGGGAGGCAGCAGUGAGGAAUAUUGGUCAAUGGGUGAGAGCCUGAACCAGCCAUGCCGCGUGAAGGAAGACUGCCCUAUGGGUUGUAAACUUCUUUUCUGCAGGAAGAAAUCACUCUACGUGUAGGGUGUUGCCGGCACUGCAGGAAUAAGCAUCGGCUAACUCCGUGCCAGCAGCCGCGGUAAUACGGAGGAUGCAAAGCGUUAUCCGGAUUUAUUGGGUUUAAAGGGUGCGUAGGCGGGCUUGUAAGUCAGUGGUGAAAUGCUGUGGCUUAACCAUAGAAUUGCCAUUGAAACUGCAAGUCUUGAGUACAGUUGAGGUGGGCGGAAUGAGUAAUGUAGCGGUGAAAUGCAUAGAUAUUAAUCAGAACUCCGAUUGCGUAGG
rnacentral:rRNA from 1 species